CUAGAGGCUGCAGGAGAUAGCUACUUUCUGGCCACAGUAAUCAAGGGAAGCUUCUAGGAAGAGGGCACACCUGAGCUGUUCCUGGCAGUAUGGGCUGGACUUCAGGGAGGGCGGCAAACAGGUUAUCCAAGAAAGUUGUGCAGCCUUAGCCCUGUAGGAGUGUAACCAAUACCGCAGCACCAGGAGAAAAUACCUCUGUAUAAGCCACAAAAUGUGACAGAGGCGCCCUGCUCCCGGAAAGACUCCAAACCCAGAAACCACGGAUGCGAUUUCACUCCAGCCCUAUUGAUCUUAGGCACCAAAAGGCGAACAAACCCGGCACGGUGUUCAAGCGAAACAGGCUGGAUCAGAAAACUGCUGCUGCAGCAGCAGCCACCCACCCGAAGUUUAAGACAGAGAGGAAAACAGCAAAGUUAACAAAAUGCCUAACUUCACACAGGGAAUCAUAACACAGUUACCAGGUUUACUGUGUAAGCAGCAUACACCGGUGUACACAACUUAACACCUGCCCUAAAAGGGCAGGAGAGCGCCCGGACGCCGGCGAGCAGCCUCCACCAGAGCAGGGGAAACCUGGAGAGACUCCCCUUAUGCCGCUGUGAGCCAGCGACGAAGUGAAGCUUGUAUUCUGCCUGUGGGUCCAGCCCCCCUGGGGUAUCCCACGACCAGACCCCGUACCUCCAGCGGACGUACUGCCGGCGGCUUUCAAGUCCACUCUGCAGCUACCUCGCUGCGCUCUCCUGCGGCGCUCACGCCACUGCGCAUGCCCGGCCGGCACCUAGGGCCAGCAAACUCGGAAUCCACUUGCCGGGUUUUGGCAGCAGCUCCCAGGGAAAAGGAUCCCGUCUAAGAGCCUGCGUUCCACUGGAGCGCGCUGGGAGCGGCGAGGGGGACCAGUGGUUGAGCGUUUGGGAAACGUUACCCCCGCUACCCACGUACGCAGCCUUUACCCUUCUCCCCGCUUAAGAUGAUCACCUACAUCUCUGGGAUGAGCUUAGCACAGUAGUUCUCACUGGAGUUGUUAAAACGCAGAUCCCACACCUGAGUUUCAGAUUCGGUUGGUCUAAGUGAGGCUCAACAAUCUGCAUUUCUAAAUUUUCUCAGGGAAAACUGUUGCUACUAGUCCCCACACCAGGCUUUGCGAACCGCUGGUCUAGAGAAAAGGGGAUACUUUUCUCUCCCCCUCCCAUUUUGGGGAUUUCACAAAAACAUUUCCUCUUCAUUUAACAGCCCCACCUGCUUUAAUAAUAAGUAAAUAAGUACACCUCACACUCAAACAAAGGUGAGAUAUUUCUUCUAGCACGUGAACCAAGUAAAUGGAAUGUAGCCCCAACAGUGCUCACAUAGUUUGCUAGCGAAUCUAUUCUUGUGGUCACUUCAGCUCUGCUCCGGCAAACAAAAAGGGUCCGUAAUUUGCUUCCCCUUUAACUCAAUUUAAGUCCAGUGUGGCUCCUCAGUACCUAGCACAGUACUGAGUACAAAAUAGGUACCCAAGAAAUCUUGAAAAGAUAUCAGUAGGGCUGGAGAGAUGAAAAGAUGUUAAAAUUAUUUUAGGAACCCAAAGGAACUGGUAAGCAAUUAAAUAUGGAAGUACUGGGCCAAGGUUACGAAGGAUGGGGAUUUUUUUCCCCUGCCUUUCACCUACAGAAAUCAAUGGAUUUAGUAUCCAUCUGAGUCCAGAUACACGGAAAGAGCUGAAUAUGUAAGUUCUCACAAAAAUAUUUCUUAAAAAGUUAAACACACAACUGCCAUACAAGCCCACCAUUCCAUUUGUGAAUGAGAAAGGGCUUCUGCAAUAAAACUUACCAGUCCAGUGGCAGAAAGUAACCUCACAGGGUGAUCUGAUCAACUCCUAGCGAGGCAGAUCAUGGUAAGUAGUCAACCCAGGCAUAUAACUUCUUUAGUAAAAUGUUUAUCUUCCCCUUACACAAGCCUUCUCCAGUUGUUCUUUAGGCAUCUAAAUUAACACACAUUUGAAAUGCCAGAGUAUUCUUUGGAGUAUUUGUUCAGACCCCUCUGAAGCACCCAACCUCAAAAAAGCCCAUAACCUUAACUCACCCAUAAUCAAAUCCACGCCUCACUUUCUCCCACCUGCAUGUAGUUUUCCUUAUGCUCCCUUCUUAAUUCCAAAUGUGUCAUUCUCUAGAACAUUUGAAUUCUUGCUUCCCGGCAAUUGUCCUAAGUUUGGCUCACAUAAACUCAUAUAAAGAUUCUCUACAGGUUUGGGUGUCUCUUAAAUUAACACAAUCAUAGGUAUUACCCAAGAGAAAUUAAAACAUAUGUUCAGCCCUGACCGGUGUUGCUCAGUUGGUUAGAGCAUCGUCCUAUAAACUGAAAGUUUGCCAGUUUGAUUCUAGGUUGGGGUACAUACCUAGGCUGUGGGUUCGGUCCCCAGUCAGGGUGCAUAGCAGAGGCAACUGAUCGAUAUUUCUCUCACAUCAGU